GACAGGGGUCUCGAGCGUUAAUCGGAAUUACUGGGCUUAAAGGGUGCGUAGGCCGGCCCGCAAGUGACUUGUGAAAUCCCCCGGCUCAACCGGGGAACAGCUCGUCAUACUGCGGGUCUGAGGAAGGUAGGGGUUGCCAGAACUGUAGGUGGAGCGGUGAAAUGCGUAGAUAUCUACAGGAAUGCCGAUGGUGAAGACGGGCAACUGGGCCUUUCCUGACGCUGAGGCACGAAAGCGUGGGGAGCAAACAGG
rnacentral:rRNA from 1 species